AUGCGCUCCAUUUCUUCCGCCAUGAGGUCGCUCCUCCUCUCCGCCCCCUCCCCCGCCUUCCUGCCCCGCUCCACCGCCCUCCGCCCGCUCCUCUCGCUCCCUUUCCGGCCGGAUCUUUCCCGCCCCAGGCCCCUCGGCCCUCCGGCCAGGUCGCUCUCUAAGAAGGCGGCGAUGACGGCGGCGGCGGCGGCGGCCAAGGCCCGGAUAGACGGCCGUGGUUCGGCGAUGGAGGCCCGGGAAGCGCAGUCCGGCGAGAUUCACGUCAUCGUCGGCCCCAUGUUCGCUGGCAAGACCACCGCGCUUCUCCGCCGCGUCCAGGCCGAGGCCGGCACCGGCAGGACUGUGGCACUCAUAAAGUCUGACAAAGACAAUCGAUAUGGAUUGGAUUCUGUUGUGACCCAUGAUGGCACAAAGAUGGCAUGCUGGGCUCUACCAGAGCUUUCAACUUUCCAAGAUAAAUUAGGGAGAGAGGCUUAUGAUAAGGUAGAUGUCAUAGGUAUCGAUGAAGCCCAGUUCUUCGAUGAUCUUCAUGAUUUUUGCAGCAAAGCUGCUGAUCAUGAUGGAAAAAUCAUUGUGGUUGCAGGGCUAGAUGGUGAUUACAAAAGGAACAAGUUUGGCUCAGUGCUGGACAUCAUUCCCCUGGCCAACUCGGUCACCAAGCUGACAGCACGGUGUGAGUUGUGCGAUCGCCGGGCGUCCUUCACACUGAGGAAGACACAGGAAACCAGGACCGAACUCAUUGGUGGAGCCGAUGUGUAUAUGCCUGUGUGCAGGCAGCACUACCUGGACGGGCAGAUUGUCAUCGAGGCCACAAGGAUUGUCAUGGAUAUUGAAAGAUCCACGGAAGUAGCUCGCUGCUAG
rnacentral:rRNA from 1 species